rnacentral:rRNA from 1 species
UCCGGUUGAUCCUGCCGGACCUGACUGCUAUCGGGAUAAGACUAAGCCAUGGAAGUCGACGCGCGCCCUUGCGCGCGUGGCGUACGGCUCAGUAACGCGUGGUUAACCUGCCCUCGCGAUGGGUAUAACCUCGGGAAACUGAGGAUAAUCCCCAAUAGGCGAUUGGAUCUGGAAGGACCUUUCGCCCAAAGGGAUGGGGCAAAUGGGCCUCAUCCGCGCGAGGAUGGGACUGCGUCCCAUCAGGCAGUUGGUGGGGUAAUGGCCCACCAAACCUAUAACGGGUACGGGCCGUGAGAGCGGGAGCCCGGAGAUGGGCACUGAGACAAGGGCCCAGGCUCUACGGAGCGCACCAAGCGCGAAACCUUCGCAAUGCGCGAAAGCGUGACGGGGCUAUCCCGAGUGCUAGCCGCUGAGGCUAGCUUUUGCUCAGUGUAAGAAGCUGAGCGAAUAAGUGGGGGGCAAGACUGGUGUCAGCCGCCGCGGUAAUACCAGCUCCACGAGUGGUCAGGACGGUUAUUGGGCCUAAAGCGUCCGUAGCCGGCUCAGCAAGUUUAUGGUGAAAUCCGUCGUCUCAAGCGUCGGAGUGCUGUAAAUACUGCUGGGCUAGGGAGUGGGAGAGGCCGAGGGUACCUCCGGGGUAGGGGCGAAAUCCUAUAAUCCCGGAGUGACGACCAGUGGCGAAAGCGCUCGGCUAGAACACGUCCGACGGUGAGGGACGAAAGCUGGGGCAGCAAACCGGAUUAGAUACCCGGGUAGUCCCAGCCGUAAACCAUGCGGGCUAGUUGUCGGAGCGGCUUAGUGCCGCUCCGGUAACGCAGGGAAGCCAUUAAGCCCGCCGCCUGGGGAGUACGACCGCAAGGUUGAAACUUAAAGGAAUUGGCGGGGGAGCACCACAAGGGGUGGAGCUUGCGGCUCAAUUGGAGUCAACGCCGGA